rnacentral:pre_miRNA from 1 species
AAAAUUUUCCGUCGGACAUUUCCGACAGAAAUAUAAAUCCGUCGGAAAUUUCCGACGGAAAAUUUU